rnacentral:misc_RNA from 1 species
UCAAUUUCUCCUUUUGAUGCUAGCUUGUUACAUAAUCCAGUUUUUAUGUAGUUUGUUUAGUUUAUUCAUAUUUGUUUCACUUAGCUGUUAGAAUAGUAAUUUAGCAUACAUUUUCAAGUAUUUAGUCAUAGCAUAAAGUCGCAUUAUUAGUUUUCUUUUGUAAUAUCAUUUGUGAAUUUGAAUACUAAAUGUUCGUUCUAUUUGUUCUCUUUUUCUCACAGUAUUCUAUCUACCUACUACCUACAUCAGUAACUACAUACUACAUCUGUAUCUACUUUACUUGAUGUUACAUGAGAGAUUUGCAAUUAAAUUCGAAUCGUCAUCGGUAAUUCUCUCUGUUCGGAAUAAGUUUCUUUUGGAGUGCAUUGUUCUUCGAACCCCCCUUCGAACUCGACCGAAACUCCUUACUUAGCAUCUCGUGUUAAGUGAGGCAGCCACAAUAGAAUACAAGGGACUGAUAAUUCGUCGAUGAAACUGGAUUUCGUGAUUUCGCUAUGGAGAAUCAAACAGAUGCUGUGAGUGUUGUCAGUCACAAGUCAGCGCGGAGCAGAGCAAGUAGAUCUUCUCGAGCAAGCAGUAGGAGUGAUCACCUUAUUCUACGUCGCCAGGAAGCUGCCAUUAAAGCAAGUUCGGCAUUCGAUGAAGAAGAGGCUAAGCUGGAGUUGACACUUCGAAAUUUAAGGACACAACGAAAGCUAGCUUGUCUUCAAGCCGAACAAGCUGUUCUGGAGGAGAGCGCUGAGUCUGAGUUUUCUCAUGGACCCGAAGAAAACCACGAUCUCAAAGACAUAAAAGAGGAAAACGAAGCAGAAAGGAUUUCACGUUUUCUUAAUCGCCAGGGAGAGGAGGAAACUCCUGUCGUUACACACCUAGAAUUGGGACAGUCGUCCACAACCGUGAGUAAUUCAUCUGACGAUAUUCACAAGAUCGUCUCCUCACUUGAAAAACUCGCACAGUCAUCUCUUGAACAAGGUGUGUUAAAUCGUCAUAUGUUGAUUCAAGCCCAGUUACCAAAAGUCGAUGUUCCUUUGUUUUCUGGAGACCCACUUAGCUACCCUCUGUGGAAAAAUUCGUUCGACUCAACCGUACAUACGAAACCACUUGAUGAUGGAGCCAAAUUGAAUUUGCUUCACAGCUGUGUCGCUGGGAAGCCGAAAGAAAUUGUUCAGCACUUUGUUUUGAUUGGCUCCCCGGAUGCGUAUGAACAAGCUCGAGAGACUCUAUCUAGACGGUACGGCGACCCGACGGUUGUAAGCUCAGCCUUCACUUCUAAGCUAAAUUCGUGGGGACGCAUCAACAGCCGUGACGCAACCGGACUUCAAGAUUUCUCAGACUGCUUGGCAAAGGUCGUUGCUGCAAAGAAGUCAAUAAAGAGCCUGGGGAUUUUGGAUUUUCCUCAAGAAAAUUCAAAACUCGUCGAAAAGCUCCCCUCAUACCUCGAAAGCAAGUGGAGGGAUGAAAUCGAUCGCUACAAGGAAAAACACGGGAGACAGGAAUACCCUCCUUUCAUCGCCUUCGCUGAUUUUGUGAGGAGAGCGGCGGACAAAGCCAAUAUCCCAGAGCUCAGUGCUUCUGUGCGGGAGCAGAUAAAGCCAGUCAACCCGAAGCCAAGUGGAAAGCAUGCUCGAACUUUUGCUACUGAAGGGAAACCUUUCAAACCUUCAGGCAAGCCAUCCAAGGACAAGACCUGUCCAUAUUGUCAAGAUAAUCAUCUCAUCGAAGAAUGCUCCAAGUUUAAAAAUAUCACCCUCGAAGAGCGACGGACAUUCUUCUUCGAGAAGAAGUUGUGCUUUGGAUGUGGGCUGCACAGCAACCACCGGAGCAAGCAGUGUAAAGCCAGGCGUUCGUGUACUGUUUGCGAAGGAAGGCAUCUAUCCUGCUUCCACUCGUGGCAGAAACAGCCAGUCAAGCAGGAAGAAGCAACCGCAAACUGCACCUCGGUCUGUAGUCUCCAAGAAGUUCAAGGAAAAGACCACUCGAUGAUUGUUCCUGUGUGGGUGAGGAGUGUCAAUAACCCAUCCAAAUCAUUCUUAGAGUACGCGUUAUUGGACGAACAAUCUAAUGUCAGCUUUAUAUCACGCAAACUCUACAAUAAGCUAAACCUCCAAGGCCAAAAAACCAACCUAAAGCUGACUACGCUGCAUGAUACUUCGAUGAUUGAUACUUUCAAGGUGCAGGACUUGGAGUUGCAAGACCACAAAAGGCAAAACAUCGUUCGCCUACCCACUGCCUUUACCAGGGAUGACAUUCCUGCCACAAGGUCUCAAAUUCCAAAGACUCAGAUCGCUGAAAGAUGGCCUCACCUCAUCCGCGUGGCAGAAGAGAUGAUGCCAUAUGACCAGACUGUCGAAGUUUCUCUUCUCAUCGGAACAGACUGCCCAAGUGCAAUUCGACCUCGAGAAAUCAUCGCUGGAGGAGAAGCGGAACCUUAUGGGCAGAAAUCUCUACUUGGUUGGGGAGUCGUCGGAAGAAUCUGCAAGGAUCCAAUCGAAUCAAGUUCAGCUAGCUGUCACAAAAUAGCUGCUGAAUUGUACCAGAACCUCGCAUUCCCAACCAAGGCCAAGGAACUUCUCAUCGAAGACAAGGUGAUUAAAGCUCUAGAGACUGACUUCAAACAUGACAACUCGAAAGAACCAAUGUCAAUUGAAGACCAUAGAUUCCUUCAUCUCCUUGAGGAGGGAAUAGUGAAGAGACAGGAUGGGCAUUAUGAAAUGCCACUUCCACUAAAGACAGAUAAUGUAAGCCUUCCAUCAAACCGACAAGUAGCUGAAAAACGAUGGAGACAGCUAACAGCUCGUUUCAAGAAAAAUCCUCAGUUCCUGAACGACUAUCGAGCCUUCAUGGAUGAAGUUAUCAAGACCUGCGCAGAGAGGGCACCAGUUCACAGUGUGGAAGGGAUGGUCAACUAUGUUCCCCACACAGGAGUGUACCAUCCUCGAAAACCGGGCAAGAUUCGUGUCGUUUUCGAUUGCUCGGCAAAAUGUAAUGGCAUCUCCCUCAAUGACCAUCUUCUUCAAGGCCCGGACCUUACUAAUGGACUUCUCGGCGUCCUAUGUCGCUUCAGGCAAGAUGAUGUCGCUUUCAUGGCCGACAUCAAAAGCAUGUUCCACCAAUUCUACGUUACUGAGAAGCAUCGAGAUCUUCUUCGCUUUCUCUGGUGGGAAGACGGCAAUCCAAAUUCCAACGUGAUCGAAUAUCGGAUGAAGGUGCAUCUGUUCGGAGCGACAAGCUCACCAGGCUGUGCCAACUUUGGUCUCAAGAGGGCAGCAGAUGAUGGUGAAGAGGAAUUUGGGAGUGAAGCUGCCAACUACAUUCGUAAGGAGUUCUACGUAGACGAUGGACUGAAGUCGGUAUCGACAUCGGAAGAAGCUGUUGCACUGCUGAAGUCAGCACAAGGGAUCUGUGAAAAAGCAGGGCUUCGACUUCACAAAAUUAUGUCGAACAAGAAGGAAGUUCUGCAAAAAUUCACAACAGACGACAUGUCCAAGGGCUUGGCUGAUCUGAACCUCGAUAUCGAUCCUCUACCUCUGGAGCGUGCUCUUGGUGUAGUCUGGUGUGUUGAGAGCGACAGUCUCCAAUUUCGCAUCGAGCUCAAUGAUCGACCCCUUACCAGGAGAGGUGUCUUGUCAACUGUCUGCUCUAUAUAUGACCCUAAUGGCUUCGCUAGUCCAGUGACUCUACGUGGGAAGCAGAUCUUGCAGAGUUUAUGCCGAAGCAAGAUUGACUGGGAUAGCCCAAUUCCAGAAGACAUCAGACCACAGUGGGAGAAAUGGAGAAUGGAGAUAAGCGAACUGGAAAACUUAAAGAUUCCACGCUGCUACAAGCCCCAGAACUUCGGUUCAGUCAAGCAUGCUGAAUUACACCAUUUCUCCGACGCCAGUCAAAAUGGUUAUGGUCAGUGCUCAUACCUUCGACUUGUGAAUGAAGAGGGUGAAGUAUCGUGUUCUCUUGUCAUCGCUAAGUCUAGAGUGACCCCUCUCAAGCACCAAACCAUUCCAAGACUUGAAUUAGCUGCUGCUGUUAUCUCGGCCAAGAUGAGUGCGUUUCUUCGCAAAGAACUGACAUAUCAUGAGAUUCGUGAAUACUUCUGGACAGACAGCAAAAUCGUGUUGGGGUACAUCAGCAACGAGUCCAGAAGGUUUCAUGUCUAUGUAGCCAAUCGAGUGCAACAAAUACGCAACGUAUCUGAUCCUGCGUCUUGGUACUACGUAGACACUUCAACCAAUCCAGCAGAUGAUGCUUCUCGAGGACUCACAGCAAAAGAGUUGUUGGAGAGCAGCACUUGGCAAGCAGGUCCAGGCUUCCUGCAUGAGAAAGGACUGUUUCAUCCUCCUGAACCCAUUCGAAUUAAUGUGGAAGAAACCGACCCAGAGGUGAAGAAAUCAACAACGCUGUCAUCUAGAGUUGAAAUUCACAACACCUUCGACACCAGCCGGUUAUCGCAUCUCUCUAGCUGGAACCAAGCCAAGAGAGUAAUAGCCUUGUGCGUGAGACUCAAGCAGCGUCUAAAGAUGAGAGAGAUCAAGCUCAAAAAAUCGCCAUCUUUGAAGAGACCAAUACCUAGAAUAUCUCUGAGCGUUGCUGACCUCCAGGAAGCAGAGUUGGAAAUUCUCGGCUUAAUCCAGAAAAGGCACCUUGGUCGCGAGCGAGAGGUACUCACCAACCUGGAUGUGUCAGAUGACAACAAUCGACAGAUUGCGAAACGGAGAAAUGAUGACAUAAAGCCAACAAGCUCAUUGUAUCGAUUAGACCCAUUUCUGGAUAGCAAAGGUCUAAUUAGAGUCGGAGGUCGAAUUCAGAGGGCAAAUAUCCCAGACGAUGUGAAACACCCGGUCAUCGUCCCCAGAGAUGCUCAUCUAACAGCACUUCUUAUUCGGCAUCACCAUGAAGAAGUGAAUCAUAUGGGCAGAGGAUCGACUCACAAUCAGCUUCGUCAAGCUGGUUACUGGGUGAUAGGUGGUUCGUCAGCUGUCUCAUCCAUCAUCACCAAGUGUGUGACCUGCAAGCGACUUCGUGGACCUCUGGAGAAGCAGAAGAUGGCAGACCUCCCGACAGACAGACUGGAACAGGCUCCUCCAUUCUCUUACUGUGCUGUCGACUACUUUGGGCCGUUCUCGAUUACCGAGAAACGAAGCACAGUGAAGCGAUAUGUAGCACUGUUCACCUGCAUGGCAUCCAGAGCUGUUCAUCUGGAAUCAGCCAACAGUCUCGACACCAGUUCCUUCAUCAACUGUCUUCGAAGAUUUGUUAAUCGCCGUGGACCAGUCCGACAAAUUCGCUCUGACAGAGGAACUGCUUUCGUUGGUGCCAGAAAUGAGCUCCGAGACGCCUUAAAACAGAUGGACCAAGACAAGAUCCAGCAGUAUCUUGUUGAAAAUAACACUGACUGGAUUCCCUUCGUAAUGAACCCACCUCAUGCAUCACACAUGGGCGGCGUAUGGGAGCGCCAGAUUCAGACAGUUCGUCGUGCUCUAGAACCCCUAAUGAUGUCUGCGGGAAAACAACUAGAUGAUGAGGCAUUUAGAACAUUUCUUUCUGAAGCAGAGUCGAUCGUCAACUCAAGGCCUCUUACAACACAGAACCUGAGCUCGUCUGAUGCUCCAGAACCAUUGACACCUAACCAUCUCCUGACUAUGAAGGCCAAGGUAGUCCUCCCACCGCCAGGCAAGUUCCAGAAAGCAGACAUGUAUGCUAGAAAAUGGUGGCGUAGAGUCCAACAUCUUACCAACGAGUUCUGGACGAGGUGGAGGAAAGAAUAUCUAACCGACCUGCAAACUCGAAAGAAGUGGGCUCGUCCAACGAAAAGUCUUAAAGUCGGCGAUAUCGUCAUCUCCAAAGAAGCAGAUGAUAACCGUGCUCAGUGGCCCCUUGGAAGAGUGUCGAAAGUGUAUCCUAGCAACGAUGGGCUUGUGCGCAAGGUCCAACUCGUCAUGGCCGAUUCAUCGUUAGAUAGCCAGGGCAAGCGUAAGAAACAACCCACCAUGCUGGAAAGACCUGUACACAAAUUGGUACUUCUCUUGUCUCCAGAAGAGACCUCGGAAGCUAGUGACACAGAAGACCAAGGGAUUCCCCAUCAAGGAGCCAGCACAACACAAUGAACAUUUCAUUUGAUUUAAUUAUUUUCCUUUGUUUUCCACUUUUUGUUCUUGUCUUUCCUCUUUGUGAUUUCUUUUUCCACUCUUCUCUUGAUAGUUCGCUCGAGUAGACUUUCACUUCAUUCUUUGUUUCUGUAUUUCUACCUUUCUUGUUCUCAACUACUGUAACCUUUUAUCUCCUUUCUAUUUCUCUCAUAAUCUACUUUCAUAUUUUCGCUCAAGUCAGUUGAUUCUAACUAUUGUAUCGUUGCUUUUUGUGUUAAAAGCGCCAGCUGUUUUAUUUUGAUACUCGUGACAAAAUUUGUUUAAAAAUUAUGUAAAGUCGUUUUCGUUUAGCUUUGGAUUGGUAACUGCUAUAAUUAAGCAGUUAAAGGAGCCAUGUCACUGCAGCAGUAUGCAGUGAAGGUUUAUAAUUUUAUAUUUACAUGUUUUUGAUUAAUUAAGUUUUUCAUUCUUAAAAUGAUAUUUAGUGUUUGUCCAUAAUGAUAUCUUAUAACUUGCUUUCAGUCUACAGAUUUUGAUCAUGUUUAGAUAUUGAAAUUAGUCUAAUUGGAAUAUAUAUCUAGUAGGCAUAUAUAAUAUUUUCUUGUACAUAAAGCUUUUCAUAUAGUAUUCAGUAUGCUUACAUGUAGUAGAUAUAUACUUGUACAUAUUUCAGUGUUAUAAGAACUAGACACUCUGAUUAAAGAGAACUAUGUUCUCUGUGAAGGUUCUAUUCAUUCCCAGAGGAGCAAUUGUCUGGACCUUCAGACCCUUAGUACACAAACUUGGCCACAGUAAUUGUAGAACAAUGACCCCCUUUCAGUUUGUGCAGCCCCCCUUUUCUAUAGUUUCAACUUGUACUGGUAGAGCUUGGCUUGGGUUUUUAGCUUUUUGAGAAAGCCAAGUCAUUACAUUUCGGAAAGCCAGCGAGUUAACAUCAUAUUUUAGACACCUCAAAUAUUAAGUUCGAUCUUUCGAUACCUUCGAUUCAGUUUCAACAGUUCAAAGCCUCCAAUUGUAUUCUAUCUACCUACUACCUACAUCAGUAACUACAUACUACAUCUGUAUCUACUUUACUUGAUGUUACAUGAGAGAUUUGCAAUUAAAUUCGAAUCGUCAUCGGUAA